rnacentral:sRNA from 1 species
GCGAGGUUCAGUUAGACUGGUAUCAGUA